rnacentral:rRNA from 1 species
ACGAACGCUGGCGGCGCGCCUAACACCUGCAAGUCGAACGAGCGAGAGAGAGCUUGCUUUCUUGAGCGAGUGGCGAACGGGUGAGUAACGCGUGAGGAACCUGCCUCAAAGAGGGGGACAACAGUUGGAAACGACUGCUAAUACCGCAUAAGCCCACGGUGCCGCAUGGCACAGAGGGAAAAGGAGCAAUCCGCUUUGAGAUGGCCUCGCGUCCGAUUAGCUAGUUGGUGAGGUAACGGCCCACCAAGGCGACGAUCGGUAGCCGGACUGAGAGGUUGAACGGCCACAUUGGGACGGGGACACGGCCCAGAUUCCACGGGGAGGCGGCAGGGGGGAAUAUGGCACAUUGGGGGAAACCCUGAUGCGCCGACGCCGCGGGGAGGAAGAAGGUCUUCGAAUUGUAACCUCCUUUUGUUGGGGAGGUAAUGACGGUACCCAACAAGGAAGUGACGGCUAACUACGUG